AAGCGAAGCCCUAAGAUGGGCGGAGAGAAGCAGAUGUGGAGGUGAUGGCGAAGACCCAGAUAUAAGCAGCUCCUCUAGGUGUUUGGAGAGUCUUCAAGUGUCCAGAUGUGGGCAGGCUACAUCUCUGCCUCUCUCUGGGGGCAACCAAGACUUGGAGCUAUAGUAAUGUAGCUGCCCUUAACCCCAGUGGCGAGAGUGAGAGAAGAGCGUUCCCUGCACGGCCAAGAUACUCUUUUCUGCUGCAGAGGAAGUAUAGAGGGGAGAUAGAAGAACCCUUAUCAAGGAGGCUGAGCUGUGAGACUUUUUAGCCCAAAUCCAGGUGCAGAAGUCAAAUUUCGGCCUUCCCAGCCCAUUUCUGUCCCAGUCAAGGCAUGUAGCCUGGUGGAACCAAUCUCACCAAAACAGCUUCUCUCCUUAGGAGCUUCUGGGCUGCUGCGCUCCUCAAAGCUCCGGGUCCUUAUGCCAGAAAAAAGACGUCAAGAGGAGAGAUUUUAGGGGAGCGCCCUGACAGAGAGGAGAGGCAGAGCGAGUUGCUAAGUAAAGCCCAUGCAUGCAUUUUC
rnacentral:lncRNA from 1 species